rnacentral:rRNA from 1 species
UGGGAGCUUGCUCCCUAUAGAUUAGCGGCGGACGGGUGAGUAACACGUGGGUAACCUGCCUGUAAGACUGGGAUAACUUCGGGAAACCGGAGCUAAUACCGGAUAAUUUCUUUUCUCGCAUGAGAAGAGAUGGAAAGAUGGUUUCGGCUAUCACUUACAGAUGGACCCGCGGCGCAUUAGCUAGUUGGUGAGGUAACGGCUCACCAAGGCCACGAUGCGUAGCCGACCUGAGAGGGUGAUCGGCCACACUGGGACUGAGACACGGCCCAGACUCCUACGGGAGGCAGCAGUAGGGAGUCUUCCGCAAUGGACGAAAGUCUGACGGAGCAACGCCGCGUGAGCGAAGAAGGCCUUCGGG